GACGGGUAUCCGGCCUGAGAGGGUGAACGGCCCUGGAACUGAGACACGGUCCAGACUCCUACGGGAGGCAGCAGUAGGGAAUAUUGCUCAAUGGGGGAACCCUGAAGCAGCAACCCGCGUGGAGGAUGAAGGUUUUAGGAUUGUAAACUCCUUUUGUUAGAGAAGAUUAUGACGGUAUCUAACGAAUAAGCACCGGCUAACUCCGUGCCAGCAGCCGCGGUAAUACGGAGGGUGCAAGCGUUACUCGGAAUCACUGGGCGUAAAGAGUGCGCAGGCGGGAUAGCAAGUCAGAUGUGAAAUGCUAUGGCUUAACCAUAGAACUGCAUUUGAAACUGUUAUUCUA
rnacentral:rRNA from 1 species